rnacentral:rRNA from 1 species
AUUGAACGCUGGCGGCAUGCUUUACACAUGCAAGUCGAACGGUAACAGGCCUUCGGGCGCUGACGAGUGGCGAACGGGUGAGUAAUGCAUCGGAACGUGCCCAGUCGUGGGGGAUAACUAUCCGAAAGGAUAGCUAAUACCGCAUACGAUCUGCGGAUGAAAGCGGGGGACCUUCGGGCCUCGCGCGAUUGGAGCGGCCGAUGUCAGAUUAGGUAGUUGGUGGGGUAAAGGCUCACCAAGCCAACGAUCUGUAGCUGGUCUGAGAGGACGACCAGCCACACUGGGACUGAGACACGGCCCAGACUCCUACGGGAGGCAGCAGUGGGGAAUUUUGGACAAUGGGCGCAAGCCUGAUCCAGCAAUGCCGCGUGCAGGAAGAAGGCCUUCGGGUUGUAAACUGCUUUGUACGGAACGAAACGGCUCUGGUUAAUACCCGGGGCUAAUGACGGUACCGUAAGAAUAAGCACCGGCUAACUACGUGCCAGCCGCCGCGGUAAGAC